AGUGAACGCUGGCGGUAGGCCUAACACAUGCAAGUCGAACGGCAGCACAGUAAGAGCUUGCUCUUACGGGUGGCGAGUGGCGGACGGGUGAGGAAUACAUCGGAAUCUACUUUUUCGUGGGGGAUAACGUAGGGAAACUUACGCUAAUACCGCAUACGACCUACGGGUGAAAGCAGGGGAUCUUCGGACCUUGCGCGAUUGAAUGAGCCGAUGUCGGAUUAGCUAGUUGGCGGGGUAAAGGCCCACCAAGGCGACGAUCCGUAGCUGGUCUGAGAGGAUGAUCAGCCACACUGGAAUUGAGACACGGUCCAGACUCCUACGGGAGGCAGCAGUGGGGAAUAUUAGACAAUGGGCGCAAGCCUGAUCCAGCCAUACCGCGUGGGUGAAGAAGGCCUUCGGGUUGUAAAGCCCUUUUGUUGGGAAAGAAAAGCAGCAGGUUAAUACCCCGCUGUUCUGACGGUACCCAAAGAAUAAGCACCGGCUAACUUCGUG
rnacentral:rRNA from 1 species